rnacentral:rRNA from 1 species
GUGGGGAAUAUUGGACAAUGGGCGCAAGCCUGAUCCAGCCAUGCCGCGUGAGUGAUGAAGGCCUUAGGGUUGUAAAGCUCUUUCACCGAUGAAGAUAAUGACGGUAGUCGGAGAAGAAGCCCCGGCUAACUUCGUGCCAGCAGCCGCGGUAAUACGAAGGGGGCUAGCGUUGUUCGGAUUUACUGGGCGUAAAGCGCACGUAGGCGGAUUGGUCAGUUAGGGGUGAAAUCCCAGAGCUCAACUCUGGAACUGCCUUUAAUACUGCCAGUCUCGAGUCCGGAAGAGGUGAGUGGAACUCCUAGUGUAGAGGUGGAAUUCGUAGAUAUUAGGAAGAACACCAGUGGCGAAGGCGGCUCACUGGUCCGGUACUGACGCUGAGGUGCGAAAGCGUGGGGAGCAAACAGGAUUAGAAACCCCAGUAGUCC